rnacentral:tRNA from 1 species
CACUAAGCAGCUGAUACGGCAACAGCGUUAGCCCUUUAAGCUAAAGAAAGUGGCUGCCAACCACUCCUAGUGA